rnacentral:misc_RNA from 1 species
GAAAUGCGAUAAGUAAUGUGAAUUGCAGAAUUCAGUGAAUCAUCGAAUCUUUGAACGCACAUUGCGCCCGCCAGUAUUCUGGCGGGCAUGCCUGUUCGAGCGUCAUUUCAACCAUCAAGCCCCCGGGCUUGUGUUGGGGACCUGCGGCUGCCGCAGGCCCCGAAACCAGUGGCGGGCUCGCUGUCACAACGGGCGUAGUAGAUUUUUCGUCUCGCCCAGGGCGUGCUGCGGGUUCCGGCCGUUAAAAAGCCUCUCUUUUUAACCCAAGGUUGACCUCGGAUCAGGUAGGAAGACCCGCUGAACUUAAGC